rnacentral:tRNA from 1 species
GGGCGAUUCGGAACGAAAUAGAAAGGUUCGUGAGCGAUGAUCCCCUCUAGGACCGCCGCCGGCACCCUCGUUUACACCGAGAGGGUCGGCGGUUCGAGCCCGUCACCGCCCACCA